CCCUUAGAUGUUCUGGGCCGCACGCGCGCUACACUGAUGCAUUCAACGAGUCUAAAACCUGCUCUGAUAGGGGUGGGUAAUCUUUUGAAUGUGCAUCGUGAUUGGGGUAGAUGAUUGCAAUUUUUCAUCUUCAACGAGGAAUGCCUAGUAAACGCAAGUCAUCAGCUUGCAUUGAUUACGUCCCUGCCCUUUGUACACACCGCCCGUCGCUCCUACCGAUUGAAUGAUCCGAUGAAUAUCAUGGAUUGAGGAUGUAAGCAGGUUCGCCUGUCUUCAUCUUCGAGAAGUGAAGUAAAUCUUAUCAUUUAGAGGAAGGAGAAGUCGUAACA
rnacentral:rRNA from 1 species